rnacentral:rRNA from 1 species
UGUCUGGGGAUGGGCCUGCGGCUGAUUAGCUAGUUGGUGAGGGUAAUGGCCCACCAAGGCGAGGAUCAGUAGCUGGCCUGAGAGGGCGGCCGGCCACAUUGGGACUGAGACACGGCCCAGACUCCUACGGGAGGCAGCAGUGAGGAAUCUUCUGCAAUGGGCGCAAGCCUGACAGAGCAACGCCGCGUGGAGGAAUAAGGCCACUCAAGGCUGUAAACUCCUUUGCACGGGCACAGGAAGGCUGACCGCCCGGGAAGCAAGCAUCGGCUAACUCCGUGCCAGCAGCCGCGGUAAUACGGGGGAUGCAAGCGUUAUCCGGAUUUACUGGGCGUAAAGCGUCUGUAGGCGGUUCGGUGUGUCUGUUGUCAAAACGCAGGGCCUAACUCUGUGGGGCAUCUGGAUACUAUCGAACUAGAGGGCGGUAGAGGUGGGGGGAACCCCUCGAGGAGCAGUGAAAUGCUUUGAUACGUGGAGGAAGGCCGGAGGCGAAGGCUCCCCACUGGGCCGCACCUGACGCUGAGAGACGAAAGCUAGGGGAGCGAAAGGGAUUAGAUACCCCUGUAGUC